GAUGAAGAACGUAGCGAAAUGCGAUAAGUAAUGUGAAUUGCAGAAUUCAGUGAAUCAUCGAAUCUUUGAACGCACAUUGCGCCCGCCAGUAUUCUGGCGGGCAUGCCUGUUCGAGCGUCAUUUCAACCAUCAAGCCCCAGGCUUGUGUUGGGGACCUGCGGCUGCCGCAGGCCCUGAAAACCAGUGGCGGGCUCGCUGUCACACCGGGCGUAGUAGAUUUUAUCUCGCUCAGGGCGUGCUGUGGGUUCCGGCCGUUAAAAAGCCUUUUUUACCCAAGGUUGACCUCGGAUCAGGUAGGAAGACCCGCUGAACUUAAGCAUAUCAAUAAGCGGAGGA
rnacentral:misc_RNA from 1 species